rnacentral:tRNA from 1 species
GGGGCUGUAGCUCAGCUGGGAGAGCGCUCGUUCGCAAUGAGAGGUCAGGGGUUCGAUCCCCCUCAGCUCCA